CAGUCGCCACGGUAAUACGUAGGUGGCAAGCGUUGUCCGGAAUUAUUGGGCGUAAAGCGCGCGCAGGCGGAUCAGUCAGUCUGUCUUAAAAGUUCGGGGCUUAACCCCGUGAUGGGAUGGAAACUGCUGAUCUAGAGUAUCGAGAGGAAAGUGGAAUUCCUAGUGUAGCGGUGAAAUGCGUAGAUAUUAGGAAGAACACCAGUGGCGAAGGCGACUUUCUGGACGAAAACUGACGCUGAGGCGCGAAAGCCAGGGGAGCGAACGGGAUUAGAUACCCCUGUAGUCCCUGUCUCUUAUACAC
rnacentral:rRNA from 1 species